rnacentral:rRNA from 1 species
GGUAAAGGCCUACCAAGACUACGAUGGUUAGCUGGUCUGAGAGGAUGAUCAGCCACACUGGAACUGGUACACGGUCCAGACUCCUACGGGAGGCAGCAGUGAGGAAUUUUGCGCAAUGGGGGCAACCCUGACGCAGCAACGCCGCGUGAGUGAAGAAGGCCUUUGGGUCGUAAAGCUCUGUCGACAGGGAAGAAAUUAACAUCAUCCAAUAGGUGUUGUUAUUGACGGUACCUGUAGAGGAAGCACCGGCUAACUCCGUGCCAGCAGCCGCGGUAAUACGGGGGGUGCAAGCGUUAUUCGGAAUUAUUGGGCGUAAAGGGCGCGUAGGCGGUCUUGUCGGUCAGAUGUGAAAGCCCGGGGCUCAACCCUGGAAGUGCAUUUGAAACAGCAAGACUUGAGUACGGGAGAGGAAAGCGGAAUUCCUGGUGUAGAGGUGAAAUUCGUAGAUAUCAGGAGGAACACCGAUGGCGAAGGCAGCUUUCUGGACCGAUACUGACGCUGAGGCGCGAAGGUGUGGGUAGCGAACAGGAUUAGAUACCCUGGUAGUCCACACAGUAAACGAUGUACACUAGGUGUAGCGGGUAUUAAAAUCUGCUGUGCCAAGCUAACGCAUUAAGUGUACCGCCUGGGGAGUACGGUCGCAAGACUAAAACUCAAAGGAAUUGACGGGGGCCCGCACAAGCGGUGGAGCAUGUGGUUUAAUUCGACAACGCGAAGAACCUUACCUGGGUUUGACAUCCUGUGAAUCUGUAAGAGAUUACGGAGUGCCUUCGGGAGCACAGUGACAGGUGCUGCACGGCCGUCGUCAGCUCGUGUCGUGAGAUGUUUGGUUAAGUCCAGCAACGAGCGCAACCCUUAUCUUUAGUUGCCAGCGCGUAAUGGCGGGAACUCUAAAGAGACUGCCCGGGUUAACCGGGAGGAAGGCGGGGAUGACGUCAAGUCCUCAUGGCCCUUAUAUCCAGGGCUACACACGUGCUACAAUGGUAAGUACAGAGGGCAGCAAGCCGGCGACGGUGAGCGAAUCCCUAAAGCUUAUCUCAGUCCGGAUUGGAGUCCGCAACUCGACUCCAUGAAGUUGGAAUCGCUAGUAAUCGCGGAUCAGCAUGCCGCGGUGAAUAUGUUCCCGGGCCUUGUACACACCGCCCGUCACACCAUGAGAGUUGAUUAUACCCGACGUCGUUGGGCUAACUAUUUAUAGAAGCAGGCGCCUAAGGUAUGGUUGAUAAUUGG